rnacentral:rRNA from 1 species
AUUGAACGCUGGCGGCAUGCCUUACACAUGCAAGUCGAACGGUAACGCGGGGCAACCUGGCGACGAGUGGCGAACGGGUGAGUAAUGCAUCGGAACGUGCCCAGUAGUGGGGGAUAGCCCGGCGAAAGCCGGAUUAAUACCGCAUACGACCUACGGGUGAAAGCGGGGGACCGUAAGGCCUCGCGCUAUUGGAGCGGCCGAUGUCAGAUUAGGUAGUUGGUGGGGUAAAGGCCUACCAAGCCUUCGAUCUGUAGCUGGUCUGAGAGGACGACCAGCCACACUGGGACUGAGACACGGCCCAGACUCCUACGGGAGGCAGCAGUGGGGAAUAUUGCGCAAUGGGGGAAACCCUGACGCAGCCACGCCGCGUGGGUGAUGAAGGCCUUCGGGUUGUAAGACCGUCGUCGGGGGGACGGAAGUACUGACGGUACCCGUCCAACGAAAGACACCGGCUAACUCCGUGCCAGCAGCCGCGGUAAA